GACGAACGCUGGCGGCGUGCUUAACACAUGCAAGUCGAACGGAGUGGCGAACGGGUGAGUAACACGUGGGUGCUCUGCCUUGCACUUCGGGAUAAGCUUGGGAAACUGGGUCUAAUACCGGAUAGUGCAAGAUGAGCUCGCGGCCUAUCAGCUUGUUGGUGGGGUAAUGGCCUACCUAGGCGUCGACGGGUAGCCGGCCUGGGAGGGGGUACGGCGACAUUGGGGCUGAGGUACGGAGCAGACGCGUACGGGAGGCAGCAGGGGGGAAUAUUGCGCAAUGGGCGGAAGCCUGAUGCAGGGGCGCUGCGUGGGGGAAGAAGGCCUUCGGGUUGUAAACUCCUUCCGAAAGGGACGCGGUACCUGGAUAAGAAGCACCGGCUAACUACGUGCCAGCAGCCGCGGUAAUAC
rnacentral:rRNA from 1 species